GGGGGGGGGGGGGGGGGGGCGUGGGGGGGGGGGGGGGGGCGGCGGGGCAGGGAGGGCGUGGUCUGGGGGGUGGGGAGGGGCGGGGGGGUGGGGAAUACAGCGGAAUCUACUUUUUCGGGGGGGAUAACGUAGGGAAACUGACGCUAAUACCGCAUACGACCUACGGGUGAAAGCAGGGGAGCGUCGGACCUUGCGCGGUUGAAUGAGCCGAUGUCGGAUUAGCUAGUUGGCGGGGUAAAGGCCCACCAAGGCGACGAUCCGUAGCUGGUCUGAGAGGAUGAUCAGCCACACUGGAACUGAGACACGGUCCAGACUCCUACGGGCGGCAGCAGUGGGGAAUAUUGGACAAUGGGCGCAAGCCUGAUCCAGCCAUACCGCGUGGGUGAAGAAGGCCUUCGGGUUGUAAAGCCCUUUUGUUGGGAAAGAAAAGCAGCAGGUUAAUACCCCGCUGUUCUGACGGUACCCAAAGAAUAAGCACCGGCUAACUUCGUG
rnacentral:rRNA from 1 species